CACCAGGCGCGAAACCUCUGCAAUAGGCGAAAGCUUGACAGGGUUACUCUGAGUGACGUCCGUUAAGGACGUCUUUUGGCACCUCUAAAAAUGGUGCAGAAUAAGGGGUGGGCAAGUCUGGUGUCAGCCGCCGCGGUAAUACCAGCACCCCGAGUGGUCGGGACGAUUAUUGGGCCUAAAGCAUCCGUAGCCGGUUCUGCAAGUCUUCCGUUAAAUCCACCUGCUCAACAGAUGGGCCGCGGAGGAUACUACAGGGCUAGGAGGCGGGAGAGGCAAGCGGUACUCAGUGGGUAGGGGUAAAAUCCUCUGAUCCACUGAAGACCACCAGUGGCGAAGGCGGCUUGCCAGAACGCGCUCGACGGUGAGGGAUGAAAGCUGGGGGAGCAAACCGGAUUAGAUACCCGGGUAGUCCCAGCUGUAAACGAUGCAGACUCGGUGAUGGGUUGGCUUCGAGCCAACCCAGUGCCGCAGGGAAGCCGUUAAGUCUGCCGCCUGGGGAGUACGGUCGCAAGACUGAAACUUAAAGGAAUUGGCGGGGGAGCA
rnacentral:rRNA from 1 species